rnacentral:rRNA from 1 species
ACCAAUUGUUGCCUCGGCGGAUCAGCCCGCUCCCGGUAAAACGGGACGGCCCGCCAGAGGACCCUUAAACUCUGUUUCUAUAUGUAACUUCUGAGUAAAACCAUAAAUAAAUCAAAACUUUCAACAACGGAUCUCUUGGUUCUGGCAUCGAUGAAGAACGCAGCAAAAUGCGAUAAGUAAUGUGAAUUGCAGAAUUCAGUGAAUCAUCGAAUCUUUGAACGCACAUUGCGCCCGCCAGUAUUCUGGCGGGCAUGCCUGUUCGAGCGUCAUUUCAACCCUCAAGCCCAGCUUGGUGUUGGGACUCGCGAGUUAAAUCGCGUUCCCCAAAUUGAUUGGCGGUCACGUCGAGCUUCCAUAGCGUAGUAGUAAAACCCUCGUUACUGGUAAUCGUCGCGGCCACGCCGUUAAACCCCAACUUCUGAAUGUUGACCUCGGAUCAGGUAGGAAUACCCGCUGAACUUAAGCAUA